ACCAGCAGCCAUAUCACCCUGCAACUCACAACUAGCAGCCCACUGAAGCUAAGCAGGUGUGAGCCUGGUCAGUACCUGGAUGGGAGACCAGCAGAAGGUUGCUGCUGGAA
rnacentral:rRNA from 1 species